GCUGUCGAAGGUGGGACUGGCGAUUGGGACGAAGUCGUAACAAGGUAGCCGUACCGGAAGGUGCGGCUGGAUCACCUCCUUUCUAAGGAG
rnacentral:rRNA from 1 species